GGGGGCGUUACGGUUUCGACGGAGAGUGCUGUGAGAGGCGCAGCGAGCCGAGAUCCCACCUACUCGUUAAUCGGUGGAAGCACGAUAAGUGCCAACGAUUACGCUUACGCUGCUUAAUUAACUAAGUAGCCGUCCGACCCGAUCUUCUCCCGAAAGCUCGGCUAGGGCGUCAUCUAAGUCGGGAUGCUUGCGUGUCAAUUCUCGGAGGCACGCACUAAGAAUAUCGAGAUAGUCCCCGGGCAGCGUGCCCGUGCGCGGCUCGUGGGGCGAAAACAAGUAUGCGGGCUACGCUCGUAGAAGUGCCUCAAGUGGCCUUUUCGGACCCGGGUUCGACUCCCGGCGCCUCCACCA
rnacentral:tmRNA from 1 species